rnacentral:rRNA from 1 species
AUUGAACGCUGGCGGCAUGCCUUACACAUGCAAGUCGAACGGCAGCAUGGAGAGCUUGCUCUCUGAUGGCGAGUGGCGAACGGGUGAGUAAUGCAUCGGAACGUACCGUGUAAUGGGGGAUAACGUAGCGAAAGUUACGCUAAUACCGCAUACGACCUGAGGGUGAAAGCAGGGGAUCGCAAGACCUUGCGUUAUACGAGCGGCCGAUGUCAGAUUAGCUAGUUGGUGAGGUAAAGGCUCACCAAGGCGACGAUCUGUAGCGGGUCUGAGAGGAUGAUCCGCCACACUGGGACUGAGACACGGCCCAGACUCCUACGGGAGGCAGCAGUGGGGAAUUUUGGACAAUGGGGGAAACCCUGAUCCAGCCAUGCCGCGUGAGUGAAGAAGGCCUUCGGGUUGUAAAGCUCUUUCGGCCGGGAAGGAAUCGCACAGGCUAAUACUCUGUGUGGAUGACGGUACCGGCAUAAGAAGCACCGGCUAACUACGUGCCAGCCGCCGCAGCAA